ACGAACGCUGGCGGCAUGCCUAACACAUGCAAGUCGAACGAGACCUUCGGGUCUAGUGGCGCACGGGUGCGUAACGCGUGGGAACCUGCCCUUAGGUUCGGAAUAACUCCCCGAAAGGGGUGCUAAUACCGGAUAAUGUCUUCGGACCAAAGAUUUAUCGCCUUUGGAUGGGCCCGCGUUGGAUUAGCUAGUUGGUAGGGUAAAAGCCUACCAAGGCGACGAUCCAUAGCUGGUCUGAGAGGAUGAUCAGCCACACUGGGACUGAGACACGGCCCAGACUCCUACGGGAGGCAGCAGUGGGGAAUAUUGGACAAUGGGCGAAAGCCUGAUCCAGUAAUGCCGCGUGAGUGAUGAAGGCCUUAGGGUUGUAAAGCUCUUUUACCCGGGAUGAUAAUGACAGUACCGGGAGAAUAAGCUCCGGCUAACUCCGUG
rnacentral:rRNA from 1 species